CCUACGUGAGGCAGCAGUGGGGCAUAUUGGGCAUUGGAGGCAACUCUUACCCAGCAACGCCGCGUGAAGGCAGCAGGCCUUAGGGUUGUAAACUUAUGUUGUAAAGGAAGAAAAGAAUGACGGUACUUUACAAGCAAGCCCCGGCAAACUAUGUGCCAGCAGCCGCGGAAAGACAUACGGGGCAAGCGUUGUUCUGACGUACUGGGCGUAAGGGGAGCGUAGGCGGGAGAUUAAGUUACGGGUGACAGCCUUGGGCUCAACCCAAGAAAUGUUCGUAAUACUGGUUUUCUAGAGUGUGGGAGAGGUAAGUGAAAUUCCUAGUGUAGCGGUAGAAUGCGUAGAUAUUAG
rnacentral:rRNA from 1 species